GACGAACGCUGGCGGCGUGCUUAACACAUGCAAGUCGAACGGUGAAGCUCCAGCUUGCUGGAGUGGAUCAGUGGCGAACGGGCGAGUAACACGUGAGCAACCUGCCCCUGACUCUGGAAUAAGCGCUGGAAACGGCGUCUAAUACUGGAUACGAGAUGUGUCCGCAUGGGCACUUUCUGGAAAGUUCUUCGGUUGGGGAUGGGCUCGCGGCCUAUCAGCUUGUUGGUGAGGUAAUGGCUCACCAAGGCGACGACGGGUAGCCGGCCUGAGAGGGCGACCGGCCACACUGGGACUGAGAGACGGCCCAGACGCCUACGGGAGGCAGCAGUGGGGAAUAUUGCACAAUGGGCGAAAGCCUGAUGCAGCGACGCCGCGUGAGGGAUGACGGCCUUCGGGUUGUAAACCUCUUUCAGCAGGGAAGAAGCGAAAGUGACGGUACCUGCAGAAGAAGCACCGGCUAACUACGUG
rnacentral:rRNA from 1 species